GAUGAACGCUGGCGGCGUGCCUAAUACAUGCAAGUCGAGCGCAGGGACGAGAAGCUUGUUUCUCUGAUGUUAGCGGCGGACGGGUGAGUAACACGUGGAUAACCUACCUAUAAGACUGGGAUAACUUCGGGAAACCGGUGCUAAUACCGCAUAAAAUUUUGAACCGCAUGGUUCAAAAUUGAAAGAUGGUCUUGCUGUCACCUAUAGAUGUAUCGCCGCUGAUUUACCUAGUUGGGAAGGUAAGGGCCUACCAAGGGAACGAACAAAAGCCAACCUGGGGGGGUGAUCGGCAACACGGGAACGGGACAACGGCCCAGACUCCAAGGGGGGGCAGCAGAAGGAAAUCUUCCGAAAUGGGCGAAGGCUGGACGGGGCAAGGCGGCGGGAGUGAGGAAGGUUUUCGAUUGGUAAAACUCUGUUAUUGGGGAGAAAGAUAGGUGUAAGGGACAGUGCACAACUUGACGGUAACUAAUCAGAAAGCCACGGCUAACUACGUG
rnacentral:rRNA from 1 species